rnacentral:rRNA from 1 species
GACGUAGGGUGCAAGCGUUGUCCGGAAUUAUUGGGCGUAAAGAGCUCGUAGGCGGUUUGUUGCGUCGGCUGUGAAAUCCCGAGGCUCAACCUCGGGUCUGCAGUCGAUACGAGCAAACUAGAGUGUUGCAGGGGAGACUGGAAUUCCUGGUGUAGCGGUGAAAUGCGCAGAUAUCAGGAGGAACACCGGUGGCGAAGGCGGGUCUCUGGGCAACAACUGACGCUGGAGGAGCGAAAGCCGUGGGGAGCGAACAGG